UUCACGGAGAGUUUGAUCCUGGCUCAGGACGAACGCUGGCGGCGCGCUUAACACAUGCAAGUCGAGCGAGAACCUGGCCUUCGGGCCAGGGGACAGCGGCGAACGGGUGAGUAUCACGUGAGUAAUCCACCCUCGGUACCGGGAUAGCCCGGGGAAACCCGGAUUAAUACCGGAUGGCCCAUCCGCUUUUCGGAGCGGCUGGAAAAGGUAGCUUCGGCCUCCGACCGGGGACGAGCUCGCGGCGGAUUAGCUUGUUGGCGGGGUAACGGCCCACCAAGGCAACGAUCCGUAGCUGGUCUGAGAGGACGAUCAGCCACACUGGGACUGAGACACGGCCCAGACUCCUACGGGAGGCAGCAGUGGGGAAUCUUGCGCAAUGGGCGAAAGCCUGACGCAGCGUCGCCGCGUGCGGGAAGAAGGCCUUCGGGUUGUAAACCUCUUUCAGGAGGGACGAAGCUACUCGGGUUAAUAGCCCAGAGGGUGACGGUACCUUCAGAAGAAGCCCCGGCUAACUACGUGCCAGCAGCCGCGGUAAUA
rnacentral:rRNA from 1 species